rnacentral:rRNA from 1 species
AUAUUGGUCAAUGGGCGCGAGCCUGAACCAGCCAAGUAGCGUGAAGGAUGAAGGUCAUAUGGAUUGUAAACUUCUUUUAUAGCAGAAUAAAGUGACCCACGUGUGGGUUUUUGUAUGUAUGCUAUGAAUAAGGAUCGGCUAACUCCGUGCCAGCAGCCGCGGUAAUACGGAGGAUCCGAGCGUAAUCCGGAUUUAUUGGGUUUAAAGGGUGCGUAGGCGGAAAGAUAAGUCAGCCUGGGCAAGUUUGCGGCUCAACCGUAAAAUUGCAGUUGAUACUGGUUGUCUUGAAUGUACAUAAGGUAGGCGGAAUUCGUGGUGUAGCGGUGAAAUGCUUAGAUAUCACGAAGAACUCCGAUUGCGAAGGCAGCUUACCGGGGUACAACUGACGCUGAUGCACGAAAGUGUGGGUAUCAAACA